UAACAUUUGGUUGCUCUGCUCAUUUUUUAAAUUUGGUUGAAAAGGAUGUCUCUCCAAAGUCUAUAGUAAAGCAUAUUAUAGCAAUUCAUAAAUAUUUUUGUAAUCAUCACCAACCACAUGGUUGGUUAUUGGAAAAAGGUGGACUGAUGCCACAGCUACCUAAUGAUACUCGCUGGAACUCCCAACUAGAUUGUUUACAGACAUACAUAUCUAAUCAUUCUCUGUACGUUGACAUUAGAGUUGAGCAUAUGGAAUCCAUUGAUCCUUCGAUAGGAAGCCUAAUUGACAAUCUAUCAAUACAAAGAGAAGCAAUAAAUUUAUAUGCACAACUGAAAAUUUUGGUGUUGCGUAAGAUAAGUUGCAAGCAGACGAUACAACUUUGUCUGAAGCAGUUGAGAUUUGGCAAAGCCUCAUACAUAAUGAAAAAUUGGCUUUGUACAAAGAUGAUAUUUUAAAGAGGUUCA